rnacentral:rRNA from 1 species
UACGGAGGGGGGCUAGCGUUGUUCGGAAUUACUGGGCGUAAAGCGCGCGUAGGCGGCUUUGUAAGUUAGAGGUGAAAGCCCGGGGCUCAACUCCGGAAUUGCCUUUAAGACUGCAUCGCUAGAAUUGUGGAGAGGUAAGUGGAAUUCCGAGUGUAGAGGUGAAAUUCGUAGAUAUUCGGAAGAACACCAGUGGCGAAGGCGACUUACUGGACACAUAUUGACGCUGAGGUGCGAAAGCGUGGGGAGCAAACAGG